rnacentral:tRNA from 1 species
GAUCUCGUAGCUCAGCUGGUAGAGCACUUGACUUUUAAUCAAGGUGUCCUGGGUUCGAAUCCCAGCGGGAUCA